rnacentral:rRNA from 1 species
CUAAUACCGGAUACUGACCUGCCAAGGCAUCUUGGCGGGUCGAAAGCUCCGGCGGUGAAGGAUGAGCCCGCGGCCUAUCAGCUUGUUGGUGAGGUAAUGGCUCACCAAGGCGACGACGGGUAGCCGGCCUGAGAGGGCGACCGGCCACACUGGGACUGAGACACGGCCCAKACUCCUACGGGAGGCAGCAGUGGGGAAUAUUGCACAAUGGGCGAAAGCCUGAUGCAGCGACGCCGCGUGAGGGAUGACGGCCUUCGGGUUGUAAACCUCUUUCAGCAGGGAAGAAGCGAAAGUGACGGUACCUGCAGAAGAAGCGCCGGCUAACUACGUGCCAGCAGCCGCGGUAAUACGUAGGGCGCAAGCGUUGUCCGGAAUUAUUGGGCGUAAAGAGCUCGUAGGCGGCUUGUCACGUCGGUUGUGAAAGCCCGGGGCUUAACCCCGGGUCUGCAGUCGAUACGGGCAGGCUAGAGUUCGGUAGGGG